CAAUAGCGUAUAUUAACGUUGUUGCAGUUAAAAAGCUCGUAGUUGGGUUUCUGGAGGGAGCGUCGGCCCGUAUUUACGAGUGCGUGACGUCUCUGUCCAUCCUUGCGGGAAGGCACGGCAUUGAUUUGUUGUGUCGGAUCGCAUCAUUUACUGUGAAAAAAUUAGAGUGUUCAAAGCAGGCUUUCGCUUGAAUACAUUAGCAUGGAAUAAUAAGAUAGGACUUUGGUGCUAUUUUGUUGGUUGAGCCUAAAGUAAUGAUUAAUAGGGAUAGUUGGGGGCACCUGUAUUGCGUUGUCAGAGGUGAAAUUCUUGGAUUUACGCAAGACAAACAGCUGCGAAAGCGUCUGCCAAGGAUGUUUUCAUUAA
rnacentral:rRNA from 1 species